GUUCCAGGUGACCACGCGCACCGACUCCUUGUGACCAUCUAGGGUUUGGUUCAUGGACAGAUUGGAAACGGCGGCCAGGCCGCCUUUGUUCUGGCCAUUGGGAGUAGCUGGAGAUUGGCAUAAAUGGUAAUGGUAAAUUUCAGGACCUUGAGCAGUCCAUCUGUUCCGGCCACUGCGAUGUAGCCCUCCUCCUUGUUCCAGGCUAUGCAGUUGAGCUUCACAUUGUUGGGUAUGGCUAUCUGCGGAAAGACCUUGUAGACCACAUAAAGAUGCCUUGAAUGAAGCCUACCUUUUUGCUGAGAUAAACGAACAUCUUGGUGUUGCAAGUGCACUUGGGUUCCUUCAGUUAUUUUCAAUGUUUCUCAGCAUUUGUUGUGGCAGCAAAACUAAAUGGUUUCCAUGGUGAUCCUAACUCCAGUUUGUAUUACGGCCACGCAGCUCUCAGCUGGCUAAAACCCAAGCCUGUUUUGGGCCCAUAAAGUGGUUUAAUUGGUAUUGGUGGCAAGUGGCAGUGAAGCACCUGCUGCCACCUGUUGCUAUCGAAGUACCUGUGUGUUAUCGAGGGCGCACCAUUUCAAAAGUCGAAGUGUGAAAAAUAAGAAACGUUUUUUUAAAAAGCAGAUUCAAAUGUCUAAUUAUGUCAAAUUAACAUACAAUAUACAAAGCUCCUUAAAAGCCAUCGUUAGUAACUUAAAGAUUGUGUUUUAUGGCAUCAAAUAAAAUAAAACCUUCCCAUUA